rnacentral:lncRNA from 1 species
UUCUUCUCAGUGCAUUGGCUGAGACAGAGCGCACGAGACACACACACAUGCAUGCACACAUAUGCACACACACACACUCACACAUACUGGGGUGUUUUCAGAGUGGCUGUAGCAGAGAGGUGGGGUAGAACAGUGGGGAGCUGUGCGGAUGGGUGAAGUGCAUGUAUGCCUGCCUAGACGGGCCAGAAAAGCCAAACUUAAGAAAUCUGCCUAUGUACAGAACAAGUCAACUAAGGGGUUCUCAUUAAUCUACCGUCUGUGAAUAUCGUUAUUUUUCAGGAGAAGCGCUACAAAGCAGCCACUGUGCUUACUGAACGGCCUCCCCCUGUAUCGCUUAAUUGAGAAGGUAUACAAAUGCUCUCAGUCCAGCCAGACACCAAGCCGAAAGGUUGUGCUGGCUGCAACCGAAAGAUCAAGGACCGGUAUCUUCUAAAGGCACUGGACAAAUACUGGCAUGAAGACUGCCUGAAGUGUGCCUGCUGUGACUGUCGCUUGGGAGAGGCUCUUUGGUGUAACGGGAAACUGCGCUGCCUGUAGUAAGCUCAUCCCUGCCUUUGAGAUGGUGAUGCGUGCCAAGGACAAUGUUUACCACCUGGACUGCUUUGCAUGUCAGCUUUGUAAUCAGAGAUUUUGUGUUGGAGACAAAUUUUUCCUAAAGAAUAACAUGAUCCUUUGCCAGACGGACUACGAGGAAGGUUUAAUGAAAGAAGGUUAUGCACCCCAGGUUCGCUGAUCUAUCAACAUCACCCCAUUAAGAAUACAAAGCACUACAUUCUUUUAUCUUUUUUGCUCCACAUGUACAUAAGAAUUGACACAGGAACCUACUGAAUAGCGUAGAUAUAGGAAGGCAGGAUGGUUAUAUGGAAUAAAAGGCGGACUGCAUCUGUAUGUAGUGAAAUUGCCCCAGUUCAGAGUUGAAUGUUUAUUAUUAAAGAAAAAAGUAAUGUACAUAUGGCUGGAUUUUUUUGCUUGCUAUUCGUUUUUGUGUCACUUGGCAUGAGAUGUUUAUUUUGGACUAUUGUAUAUAAUGUAUUGUAAUAUUUGAAGCACAAAUGUAAUACAGUUUUAUUGUGUUACCAUUUGUGUUCCAUUUGCUUCUUUGUAUUGUUGCAUUUAGUACAAUCAGUGUUUAAACUUACUGUAUAUUUAUGCUUUCUGUAUUUACCAGCUAUUUUAAAUGAGCUGUAACUUUCUAGUAAAGAAUUGAAAAGCAAAUCUCACUAAUGAUACACAGAUAGAUAAAGCAAGUCUAUCAACAUUAAAAAUACUAAAAAAUAAAGACACACACAGAGCAUUUUAGUGACAUCCACUACUUAUUGCCGCUAUGAGUUAGAGUCUAUCAGUGUUCUUGUUAUAACCCCCUAUUUUCAGGGGGUUAAAAAUCAGCUUUAAAAAAAUACAUAAAAAUUUCAUCUUAAAGCACUUUCAUUUUAUACCAACGUGAAAAGUGCCAUUUUUAGAAUAACUUUAAAGCUUAACAGGUUUCCUUUUAAUAUCCUUUUUUUGUGUGCUCUUUACUUACACAAUGGCUUUGUUUUGCUUUUUCAGCCACACCCCUUAUGUGAACUAGUGCCUUUGGGUAUCACGUAAAAUUUUUUCCAAAGGGUUACUUUAAAAAUCUGUUACCACAAUUAUGAGAUGAUUUUUAAGUGAUAAAUUAAACUUCUUCUUGUAUAAAUUCUGCCCAGAUCUCUCCACAAGAGCUGAGGGUUUCAUAACUUUAUGGCUUAAUAAAUGUAUGACACUGAAAAGAUUUGAGUGUGAAUCUACUGAAAUCACUAUAAUGCACAUUGAAGCUAUGAUGGUAUUUGAGUAGUGAGGUUACUUUUGAUCGGAGCAACAUAAUGCUCAUAGAAUCUUCUAGAAGAAGAGAAACAAAGGGAUUGAUAAAAUGCUGAGAACUAGUGAUUAUAUAUUUUUCUGUAUUUACCUGACAUUUAUUUUAAUGUUCAAAAAGUAAACACUUUAAGUUUGAUGUGUUUUACUCUCUCAUUGUUUUAAGUAAUUGCCAACUCAGAAUACAUCAUUCUUAGGCUGAAAUUUGUCUUUCCAUUUUUUAAGGUGAAAUAGUACUACCUUACGUGAUAGCAUACAAAGAAGAAAGCUCUAGAAAGAGAAAUUAUGGAGAAUGAUUAUUUAAAUUACAAUUAAGGAAAUGAGAAUAUGAUCCCCUCUUCCGAGUUGCCCACAAACUUGCUUCUUUGCUUUUGCUCCCUGUAAUAGAACUACUUUUCAACAAAUCUAAUUUUGCACGGCACCGUUAACCAUAUUUUCACUACAGCAAACUUAGUGCUAUGGGUUUUCUUUUUCUUUGUUUUUUUCUUGAUCACUUGUAUAGGAAACAAUAUUUUCCAGUGUUAUUUGCAUAUAUAUUUUGUCCUUCCAAUAUAUGCAUUACAGAUGAAAAUUAAAUGUUAUACCUGAAUUCUUGGGUUGGGGCCAAAAUAUUAAGCUGAAAAUAAUGCUGGUGUGGAUUUGUUUUAAAACAAAGCUUUAUUAUGAACAUGCAUGUGAAUCUGGAUAUUGCCUCUUAUUUUUAAGAAAAUGGUUCUGUGAAAAGUGAAUGAUAUGUAUUUUUCCAAAUGCUUCAUGGUUAGGAGUCUUCAAGUUCCAUGUUCCCCAGAUUUGAGAUAUACUAAAGAAAGAAAUUCAAAAGUAGCUAUUUGGGGCCCACAAAAAUAACUAUUAUUUUAGCCUUAGAGCCUUACACUUGUUUCAUGAAGAGAAAGGACUUGCAUAACCAAAAUAAACAAAGCAAGACAAAUUAAAAAUAUGUGGGGGAGAGAUCAGUGAAAAGUGGUUUUCUUAAUGCAGCCCUGCUGGUCCCCAUUAACAAUUGCUUGAAAUUCACAUGGAUGUAAAAUUAUAAUUGUCAGGAUCUUAUUCAGAUGAUCUUUUAAGGUUUAACUGGUUUUGCUUUUGUUUAUCUAUAUGUCAAAAUACUUGUAAAUUGGGAACAAACUUCUCUCAGCUUCUUGAAGUUGUUCAACUAUCCUUGCCACUGGAAGACCAAACAAGGUUUUCACUGCUUUUUCUUUUACAUAAUAUGCUGAGAAUUAUUUCUUAUGCUUUUUACUACAAACAAAAUUACUCACCUGGAUUAAAGAUUAAGGCCUUAAUCUGUUUAGAUUAUCUUUAAUCUCCAUGAAAUCGUGAAAUAAGACAAGAAUAGUGUUUCAGCUGUAGGCCAUUUUACAGCUAAUUGCCCAUAAAUUGUAGCAUUUAUUGACCUGAAGUACUAAGCUAAUUGUCUUGACUACUCAAAGCCCCUGAAUUGUUGUCAACUUUCCCCUUUGUGUUGUGUAGCCCUAACGUCAUUUAGCUUGUUGUCUGAUGCCUCCAGUAGGACACCUCCGAUGGAGCUUUGAUUUCUGAGCAGCGAAAGCUCCCUUCCUAAGAUGCAUCUCGCAUAGGCUGCCUAUGAUGAAGGACCGUGCACCUCCACUCCAACAGAGUGCUGAGUUUAAAAGUUGACCUGUGUUUGUAAUUUCACUUUCAUCUUGCUUAAUAAAUAUCUGCUGGAUUCUUUCAUUCACUUUUUUACAUUUGGAUUUAUGUUUUUAAUAAAAGGGGUGUUACACUA